GAUGAACGCUGGCGGCGUGCCUAAUACAUGCAGGUCGAGCGAAUGGAUUAAGAGCUUGCUCUUAUGAAGUUAGCGGCGGACGGGUGAGUAACACGUGGGUAACCUGCCCAUAAGACUGGGAUAACUCCGGGAAACCGGGGCUAAUACCGGAUAACAUUUUGAACCGCAUGGUUCGAAAUUGAAAGGCGGCUUCGGCUGUCACUUAUGGAUGGACCCGCGUCGCAUUAGGUAGUUGGUGAGGUAACGGCUCACCAAGGCAACGAUGCGGAGCCGACCUGAGAGGGUGAUCGGCCACACUGGGACUGAGACACGGCCCAGACUCCUACGGGAGGCAGCAGUAGGGAAUCUUCCGCAAUGGACGAAAGUCUGACGGAGCAACGCCGCGUGAGUGAUGAAGGCUUUCGGGUCGUAAAACUCUGUUGUUAGGGAAGAACAAGUGCUAGUUGAAUAAGCUGGCACCUUGACGGUACCUAACCAGAAAGCCACGGCUAACUACGUGCCAGCCGCCGCUGUAA
rnacentral:rRNA from 1 species